rnacentral:tRNA from 1 species
GCCGGGGUGAUGGAAUUGGUAGACAUACAGGACUUAAAAUCCUGGGAGGCUUUAAAAUCUCGUGUGGGUUCGAUUCCCACCCCCGGCA